UCUCGCGUCAGGAUAUGCUAGGUGGGAUUAGCUAGUUGUGAGUAAGGGCUCGCCAAGGCGACGAUCCCUAGCUGGUCUGAGAGGAUGAUCAGCCACACUGGAACUGAGACACGGUCCAGACUCCUACGGGAGCAGCAGUGGGGAAUAUUGCACAAUGGGCGCAAGCCUGAUGCAGCCAUCCGCGUGUGUGAAGAAGGCCUUCGGGUUGUAAAGCACUUUCAGUCGUGAGGAAGGUAGUGUAGUUAAUAGCUGCAUUAUUUGACGUUAGCGACAGAAGAAGCACCGGCUAACUCCGUGCCAGCAGCCGCGGUAAUACGGAGGGUGCGAGCGUUAAUCGGAAUUACUGGGCGUAAAGCGCAUGCAGGUGGUUUGUUAAGUCAGAUGUGAAAGCCCGGGGCUCAACCUCGGAAUAGCAUUUGAAACUGGCAGACUAGAGUACUGUAGAGGGGGGUAGAAUUUCA
rnacentral:rRNA from 1 species